rnacentral:rRNA from 1 species
GUCGGACGGGCUCUCUUCGGGGGGCCAGUGGCGAACGGGUGAGUAACGCGUGGGUGACCUGUCCACGAAUGGGGGAUAACCUCUCGAAAGGGGGGCUAAUACCGCAUGGGCUGUCCUGUUUUGGCGGGGCAGUAAAGCCUUCGGGUGUUGGUGGAGGGGCCUGCGUCCGAUUAGCUAGUUGGUGAGGUAAAGGCCUACCAAGGCGAUGAUCGGUAGCCGGUCUGAGAGGAUGGUCGGCCACACUGGGACUGAGACACGGCCCAGACUCCUACGGGAGGCAGCAGCAAGGGAUAUUGCGCAAUGGGCGAAAGCCUGACGCAGCGACGCCGCGUGGGUGAAGAAGGCCUUCGGGUCGUAAAGCCCUUUUGCCAGGGAAGAGUGAGGACGGUACCUGGCGAAUAAGCCCCGGCUAACUACGUGCCAGCAGCCGCGGUAAUACGUAGGGGGCGAGCGUUGUCCGGAAUUACUGGGCGUAAAGAGCGCGUAGGCGGUGCGUUAAGUCGGCUGUGAAAUCUCCCGGCUCAACUGGGAGGGGACGGCCGAGACUGGCGGGCUUGAGGGUGGCAGAGGGAGGCGGAAUUCCCGGAGUAGUGGUGAAAUGCGUAGAUACCGGGAGGAACACCGGUGGCGAAGGCGGCCUCCUGGGCUUCUCCUGACGCUGAGGCGCGAGAGCGUGGGGAGCGAACCGGAUUAGAUACCCAGGUAGUCCACGCUGUAAACGAUGGACACUAGGUGUAGGAGGUAUCGACCCCCCCUGCGCCGUAGCUAACGCGAUAAGUGUCCCGCCUGGGGAGUACGGCCGCAAGGCUAAAACUCAAAG